UCCUGGCUGCACCUGUCAAGGUCGGAGGUUUAGUCCAGGCCCACCUAUGAGUAGUUGCUCCGGGCAGCCUGAGCCAGAAUAGGACUCUCUAAGCCCCACUUCCCUGAUGUGUUGAGUGGACAGGUGAGACCAGAUUUCUUCCCUUAAUUUUUUUGUAGUCAAAUAAUAUUGUGAAAAAGAAUUACUUAUAUUGCCUUCCCCCCUGGUUCCUGUUAAUAUUUAGUCUCCUGGUCCUAGUUCCUGACACACAGCUUCUGAGACGUUUGUAAGCUCCUUAGUGACAGGCAUGUCUGACAGGAAGCGCCUAACCCCUGGAAUGUUCUGGGCGAUAGAAGCAUCUUUGGUCCUAGUGAGGCACCUGCUGGUGAGCUCCUGGUCACCCGGAAGUCCAAGUCAUGAUAAGAAGCUUGGACAUUUCAGCCUCGCCUUCCACUUUCUGGAGAAGUGGGAGGGGCCGGACGUUGAAUUAAUAAUCCAUGUGGCCCACAUGGUGAGGCCUCCCUAAAAAUGCCUGCGUCAUAGGGUUCAGAGAAAUCCCUGCACCAAAGGUUGGUGAAGACAUUGGUGAGCUGGGAGGGUGACACCCGUCACUGCCCAGGGACAGAGAGGCUCCUGUGCUGAGAAUCCUUCUAGACCUGAUGCUGUGUGUCUCUUUGAUCAGACCUUUCAUUUGCACCCAUUACAAUAGCCUUUGUAAUCAAUGGCAAGAGUGAGGAAUCUGGCUGCCCUGGUUACAUGAACCACUCUAGCAGGUGACAGCACCCGAGAGGAGGUCGUGGGAACCUCGACUUGGAUCUGAGACAGAAGUCUAGGGGGGCCAGGGGGCCCAGCCUUUGAGAUGGCCGUGUGAAGUGGGGCAGCCCCGUGGGACUGAGCCGGUCCCCCGAGGGGUCUGCUCUGAGUCCCGUUGGUGUUGGAAGUGAGCGCGUCGCAGGACACCCAGCCUGUCUCAGCGAAUUGGUCAGUGUGAGACAGACCCUGCUCCUCUGCUGUCAGAAAUAUCACGGGCAUGAGCGUCAAGGAAAAACAAAGUGAUUUUUUUCCCCAUACAGUUAUUAUGCAUUUUUAGUACCUAUCACGUGCUAAUUGUAAGAUCAGAUGCUCUUUUCUUCAUUAUCUAAUUUUGUUUCCCAGCCACCUUGCAACAUAGCUGUUGUUUCCAUUUCAGAAACGAGGUGAUGGUGAGCAGGAAGAGUAAGUCAUUUGCUCAGGGUGACCGAGUCAGAAUGCUGAGAGUAAGAGCAGCGAACUGACUAUCGCAGGCUUAGGAUUGCAGUAAACUUCUCGUGCAGAUAAUCCCCUUUCAUCCUCCCUACAGCCUGUGGUGGAGACGCCCUUGCCACCUCGUGGACCUCGGGAAGUGUGCUUUGGGGCCGGUAGGGUACAUGCCCAAGACCACGUCUUUCACCGGAGGAGCCUUAUAUCAGAGUCAGCAUUCUUUUGAGUCCAGGAUUCAUUUCUGCCACCUACGGCAUUGCAACCCUUCAUGCCCUCCAGUAUGUUUUUCAUACUAUGUUUUCGUACUAUGUUUUCAUAUUAGACUAUGUUUUUCAUACUAUGUUUUCAUAUUACAGUAUGUUUUUCAACUUACCAUUUCAGAGAAACCAACAAAAUGCAGGCUAACUCUCUUGUAAGAAUUAAAAAAACCAAAACUCCAGCAACUCUGUCUCGGAGUUCUGUCAUCAUCCCAUUCAUAAUUGAUUCCAAACGUGCAUGAAUCUUUCAAGAUAAGUGUCUUAUUGAUUAUCCUAGAAACAAGCGAUCACUUGGCAGUCUGGGACCGGCUCGCUGCUCUCCCCUGAUUACCGUAAGCAGAGAUGUUGAGCAGGAGAAAUGUCAUUUUCUUUGGCGUGGACCUGCCAGGCAUUCUGAGGCACCGGAGUGGGGAAUAGAGGUCUCGAAGCGAGCCAGACAAAGAGGUGCUUGGUCAUGGCCUCAGCCGGGUUCCUGAGGGGCUGGAGCCCAGCGUUCGUGGCUUGGCUGCUGCAGCCUCGAGCUGUUCUGGGAUCUUCUUGCCAGGAGUUCUUCCUGGGAAGUGUGCAGAUUGUCCCCGUGAAUGCCGGUUGAAGGCCGUCAGAAAAUGUGAAGUCUCUUUAAGUGACAUCCCUUUUCUGCAAGUUUACUGGUGGUUGUGUAAACCAGCCGCGCCUCCCUCUUGGAAAAGAUGAGCGUUUACCAGGAACCUAGCCCCUCCUUUCAUAGUGGUGGCAAGUCGGUAAGAUACUCACAUGGCUCUGCAGUUGGAUUCUGUUCUGUGUGUCUGCUUCCCGUGUGGCUCUGAUGGCAUUUGACCGCAGCCGUGACCCUGGCGUUGUUGCUGGCAGGUCUUGCAUGGCUGCAGGGAGGGUCAGUGUGGGUGAGACAAAUGGCGAAGUUUCCCCUGGUGACUCUUUUGCUGCAGCUGAAGGCCUUGAAAUACUCUCCGGGUGACAGUAGCCCCAAACGUGAAUGGGCUGUGGCACUUGGCAAACAGAAGGAGACCUGACUCAGGGGUUUGGGGUGCAGCUAAUGAAGAUUCAGGCCAUUGCAUUAAAUUAGCAGCUUGAUUGCCUGGGACCGCCCCUGGUGAAAGGCUUAGUUGCUAUCCUGGGGGGACAGAAUGGGGCUACUCUGCAUCACAUGAGCCUGGCUGCCAGGAAGCUCUUGCUCAGCAACCAGAUGCACCCUUUCUUGGACUCUGAAACUGAUUUCGAAGCGGCUUCAUCACGUGCUUGAAGCAGGUCAUCAAGAGGAAUGAGGCUCUCAUGCCUAGAAUCAUGGCACUUACAAAAGCCACUUAGGUGACAGGUUGGUCCCUUUGUUCUGUGAGGACACAGAGGUGGCUCAGAAAAGGUGAGGUCCUUCCGUCCCCUGAGCCCUUGAGCCGUGUUCACUCCUGCUAAGGCGUCCUGGGUACUUGUUAAUCCCUUGAACAUCUCACUCACUUAACAUCAAUUGAUUGAACACCUGCUGUAUACCAGCCCCCGAGCAAGGUGCUCGGCAUAAAGCGAGACAUCCAGGACAGUCCCUGUGGAGAAGGGCAGGUUUCCUUGUGGUUGUGGUUGUGGCGAUGAUGGUGGAGGACAGGGAGACCUUGGCCUUGAGGAAGACGUUACCGUUCCCUGUUGUGCCUCCCGUCUGUGUAAUUGAGUAGCUACUCAGCGCUGCCUCUUUUGGGGCUCAUGGCUGCAUAUGGACACAUUAGUUUAAUCUGACCCAUCUACCUGUACUAGGGUGCUCGAGAGAAAUAGAACAACCGGAGAUGGAUGGAUGCAGGGAUGCAUAGAUACAUACGCGCACACACAGACAGGCAAGCAGAGGCAAUUUACUGGAGGAACUGGCUCACGUGGUCAUCGAGACCGAGAUGUCCCACUUGCUGGAGAAGGCGGACGAGCAGCAGUAUAAUUCAGCCCAAAUCCUGAAGACGUUAGCUUUUUGUGGUCCUUGGGUCCUCAGUGGCUUUGACUCCCCUCGUGUGCCCGUCGCUCGUGCCCUUGGACACUGCAAAGAAGCUACAGUAGAGAGACUGUUGCUUAAGGGUUUCUGGUAAUGGCAUAAAGAUCACCAGUAAAUGGAUGAUAAACAGCCCUGAUUUCCUGUAAAAAUACAGACAUAUGACGGUAAAAGAGAAUUUAGAGGGUACGACGCUUCACUUUCUUUUGGCUUCCCAUAGUUUACCUGUGUCAUAACCUGUCUAUUAACUUUCUCCCCCCUUUCUUUUUUUGCUAAAGACUAAGAAACAUGGGGUAUUAACCACGAUGAUGCUGCCUCUUAGCUGGAAGGUGAGAAAAAAAUGGAAAACUCUAAGGGAGAGGGUCUUCCGAUAAGGAGUUGAUACUUGUUGGAAUGUUCCGGAAUGACUUCAUGGUUCCUGACAUCCCCUACCACCCCUGAAAUCCAUAAUGAUCAGCAAAUUCUGUGCUUUCUCUGGUGUGUCAGGUACUGUGAUCGAUUCUAGGAUUACAUUAAUAUGGGAAAGACAAUUCCUGUCUUUGAGGAGGGAAACAAUAGGGGAGAAAGCUAGCGGACGCUCCGCUGAGGGGGCUGAGGGAGUCUGCUGUGUUGAAAACUCUUGUCGAGAAGUCCAUCAUGGUGUUUUGUUGGGGUGGCCGGCGACUCCGAGAUGGUGCCCAAGGCCAGGCAGAGCGGAGGAAACGCCCUUAUGCUAUCGUCGUUCCUUCUUCCUGGAGGAUGAAAAGGACCGUUCCAUUUGGACAAGAGUGCGUCGGACAAGGAGCAUCGAGAGCACGUGGCAUGGUUCCGGCGCGGAGGCCUUUUGAUGAAUUGCAGUGCUGUGUGCUGAGGAAAGGCAACCAACCUCUCCUGCAGUUUCUAUGUUAAGGCAGAGAGAAGCGUGUCGCGACGCAGUAGCACAGUGUUAAACCCGGGGCCUCUGCAGAGAUGAGGUCUUGAGCGGGUGCCACUGACAUAAUGGCUUAGAGAAAGGAGUCGUGAGGUCGGGUGGAGUGGACCAGGGCCAAUUCUGGUAGGCUUCACUCGCAGGACCCCGCUUGCAGUAGAUCUUGGUGCAAGCCUCAGGUGGGAGACAGCCCUAGGAUGGUGCAGCGUCGCAGUGAAGAGCUCAGACCCUAGAGCUAUAGCGUUCUAGUUGCUGCGUGUGACACCUAAGACUCCUAAGCCUGGGUCUCGCCAGGGGUAAAGGGGCCUAAUAUGGCACAUGCCUGUAUCUUGGCUGAGAUGCUCUGGGUUGCCUAUAACAGGAAGAUCGACUUGUGGUGGCUGGGUGUUCGAAGAGCUGGACUGUCCUGGUCUGGCUCCACUUGCCUGAGGUUCUCUAUCAGCUUCUUCCUCAGCUGGCGUUCCCACCACAUUCCGGGAUGGCAGCAGAAACUCCCAACACCGUAACCAGAGGGCAUAACGCUGGAAGGAAAGGAGACCUUUCCCCAGAGCCCCUCAGCAGUCUUAUGCUGACAUCUCAUUGGGCAGAAUUACAUCCAAUGCCUUGAUCUCCGGAAACAUCUGGACCCAUCAUGAUUGGGCGCUUAGGCCACUGAAGGUUCAUAGUCCAGUUUUAGUCACAUGGUGGAGGGGGCAUGGCUGACCAAGAUCGGGCUUGGCCAUCAAGGGAGAAAAGGAGAACAGAUACUGGGUGGAUGCCCAGGCGUCUGUUUCAGGACCUCAUAGGGUUAUGAGAAUCCACGAAAACCGUGUCUGUCAGAGGGUUGCUCCAGUGCCUGGCACGUAGUCACAACUCACCAGAACUCAGCAGGCGUGAUCGCAGUGACUGACAGCAGUGCUGGGAAGUAGGGACAUGAAAGCUUCUUGUCCACUUUGCAAAGACCUUGUUCCUGUCAUGUCCUGUAGCCAGCAGAGCUUUCCUUGGCCCCGCCGGUCUCUGCACUCACCUUUCUCUGACAUUCAUCUCUGACACCUGAGUCCCAGUUUUGUUACAGUUAUUAGGAGACAGUGAUAUGUUAGAAGGACAAUGAAUUUGGAGUUCCCUGGUGGCCCAGUGGGUUAAGGAGCCAGUGUUGUCACUGCUGGGGCUCGGGUCACUGAGGGUUCAAUCUGGGGCCUGGGAACUUGUGCACGCCAUGGGCAUGGCCCCAAAAAAUUACAGUGAAAGAAAGAUACACUUCACAUCAAUUGGUUUUGAAUUUAGGGCUUCACCCUCUAUCAUCUCUGUCAUCUCAGAUGAGUUUCUCAAGUUGGCUGAGCCUCAGUUUACCAAGCUAUUUGAUGGGGACGGCCACAUCACUUUUUUCUUCAAAUAGCCACUGCAGGCACCUCACGCAGUCCCUCCCUGCCUUCUGAAAAUAGAGCCUGAGCUACUUUGUUUGAGGGUAGGGUGGGGGUAUUUACCUGGUGCAAACAGAGGGAGCACUGAAGUGGCACCGAGGCAGUCGGCACAGCCCCCACGAACUUCUUCCUGUGCGUCUAGUUCCCUAGAAAACCACCCCUGACCGCCCACUGUUCAGACUUGCUCAGGUGACUAUAACCACCGGUGUUGGUAACAAUGCGCCUAUCGACUCCUCAUUUCAGUAGAUAUCCAGAUUUAUUAUCCCUCAAGGUAAGUAUCGAUUUUACCUUUGUCUCAGUCAAUAUUUACCUCUGAGGUCAAUACGCGCAGAUAUCCACCUCAGCUGCAGUCAGCAUCCACUGCGUGUUACAGUGUGUGAUGUACACAUGAGAAAAUCAACACCACCAUGGCCU
rnacentral:lncRNA from 1 species